rnacentral:sRNA from 1 species
UUAAGUCACAAAAUUAGCAGCUCCCACAGUGUGUUCUGUUUAUCACACAACUACCAUUACUGUUUGUUCUCCCCUUUUAAGUAAUCUCUAGGCAGAGGAUCAGAGACCUAGUCUUGCUUCUAAAAUAUAUUUUCUCUUGACAAUUCAGUUGAUUAAAAUGUUUAAGAUCAGGUUUUAUUUAUUUGUUUGUUUACCUGAGAAAUAGAUCACUGUUUCUGGGGACUUUGAGACAUCUUCCAACAUCCCUGACUCUUAGUGGUUUUAAAACAGAAAUGUUUAGUAAUCUUAUCUUAACAUUGACCUAUUUUAUUCUUCAAAAGGCCAGUUUCUUAUCCUUUGGACAUUUUCUAAAUACCUGCUUAUAUGACUUUUUGCUGUAUUACCUUCUUGAUCUAAUAAACACUCCUAAAUGACUCCUA